AGUCCACAGGACAUCGACCACAUGUACAGUAAGAGGCCUUACAGCUUUCCACCCAGAGAGCAUGUUAAUGUGAGUGAAGAUUAACCCAAGAGAACAACAUAUCCAGUGUUUACAGCUGUGCACUAAGCCAUGACUUUGUGUGUCUUGAUUAAGGACUAUAAUGACAGCAUGGACUAACAUGAUGUGGUCACCACAACCAGAGACGUUGGGAUCCUGAGUGAAGACGCAUCUUUCGACAGGCUUGUGGUGAGGACAUGCAAAGGAUCAACAAACAACAAAUCUUAUUUGAUAUACUUAACCAGAAUAAUUACGUUUAACAUCUGAAUGCUGUUUGAUCAAAUUUUAGGAAAGGGCUCAGCAAGCUGAACACCAUAGAAAAGUCACUAGUGACCUUCAUGUAAUGUUCAUCACUCAGGAUAACGGUCUACUGCAACAUCUUGAAGCGGUCAUCGCAUGAAAAGUUACAUCCUCAUGGGCAACAUCAAAGGGCAGGGUGAUCAUUUUCUUUGAGGAGGAUGAGCAGCUGGACAGAGUGCUGGGCUUCUUGACAAGCCUGGUUAAAGCACAGACAACCAGGUGUCACAAUCACGUGGCAUUUGUUAUGGAUGUGCUUCUGCCAGAGGCAACAGUCCACGCCCUUUCAGCUGUCCAUGCAUUUUCCAUUGACAGAGCGACAGAAGUUUAUAAAUGUGGACUGCAGUAUGACUUGAGUGGAAAACGGCUGUUGGCUCAUUACAUGACAAACAACAUGGCUCUACAGCAACUAGAAAAAUAUGCUGAAAAACUCAGAAGAGCUCUGGACUCUGAGGAGUUUUUGAAGACGCUUUAGUAUGUAUGUAGGAUGAAUUAAAAAAUAGUCUGUGAAAUGAUAAUGUUUUAUUUUAUUGCCAAUAAAAGUUGUUGCUGGCUAAUUCAUUUGUCUCAACUUUUGUGUUUUGAGGUACAUAUUUUAAAGAGCUGUGUAUGGUCAUAUUUAUAAAUACAUAAAUACAUUUUAUUUGUGUCAAAGGGCGAGCAAUCUUUUCUGUUAACCCAUAAGAAAUCAUCACCUUAGAGUGAUAAUUAUGGCAUCUGAUGUAGUAGGCCAAGCUCUGUGACAGUGUGGCUCUUAGAAAAACAGCUGGUGGAAACAACCUAUUUUAAUUGAAAUGACUACUACUAAUUAUUAUUAUUAUUGUAAAAUAUUUUAUUUUAUUUAGUUUAAAAUAACCUUGUGCACAUACAUUAGUCACUUAUAUAAAAAAUGAAAAGAUGCAUGCAACAGAUUUAGCAGUCCUAUAUAAUCUUUUAUCCCAAUCUUUUAUUUUUUUUAUUACUUAACUUUCUAUUUUUGUAUAUAUUUAUUGUUUCAAGCACAUUGUUUGCAUUGAAAAGCAUUUAAUGUUGUGAAUCAACCGUUAAAGUUGUUAAAAAUGAUCUGGUUAUUGCUUCGUUUCCUUUGUGUUUGCUUUCUAAGUGCUCUGGGCCUCCACAGCCACCGUAGUGUUGUAUGGGCGUGUUUUGUAAUGGGCGUGGUUUUUAGCGGCUCUGGCUUAGCUGCGGCUGCAGCUAGACCCUUCUCCGGACUUUGCUAACAAGCUAGCGACGAGCAAACUUGAUGCGUAGAGCAGGUGUGGAGCUGUGAGACCGAAGACAGACACAGAGACCCAGACGGAGCCGGACAGCGUUGCCGAGUGGUGGACUUUGUCGAUAUCGUCAGCGGUGGGAGUCUUCUCUUCAUCGCUCCUCCUGCUUCUGGCUGCCUGGAUCCUGAGCGCGGGAGGCUAACGCAAUUUAGUGACGGUACCAGUGUUUGUUUUUUUGCCUUCGUGGUGAAGCAGCCAUUUCCUUUAAGGCUACAACGUACAAGAGAUACCUUCAGGCCUGCAACGUUGAACUGGGUAUUUUCAUUUAAACUAUUUUAUUUUCUUUGGGCCCAUGUGUUUUGAAUGUGUCUGUGAAUGCACUAUUGUGAGUUGUCAAGCAUUUGAUAAGAGCAUUGAAACAAAUAUUUAACCAGUGAGUUCAUAUUUUUUCAAAGUAAAUAACUCAUACUUUUUCAUAAAACAGGUGUGGUUAUUUAAUACUUUUGAUAUUUUAAGUUAAGACAGAGUGAUAUGUGUUUGUGAUAGACCAGUGAUGUUGAUAGGUUUUCAAUGUAGUGAGUCCCCGGGACCCACAGGUGGUGAGUUGAGUGGGUCCCUGGGAAAUCCAAUGGGUCCCGACUCCCCAGUUAAAAAAAUGUAUUUCUUUCUUAUGUUAUUCUAUUUCUUAAAUUUUAUUGAGUGUUAAACUCCUUUGAAGGUGGUAUGAUAUGGUUAUAAUAAACGGAUAUAUUCAUGUAUGUUCAAAAUGUAUCUGAAAUUAAACAAAUAAAAUUCCAAAUCAUUUUUUGUAGCAACAUAGGCUAAAUAGCACCAAAAAAAAUUACUAAAAUUCAAAUAGUCUGCUGACCUGCAAUAGGUUUUAUCUUUUUCUUUGGUGGCAUUUUUGCGUUCUCCUUUUCCUGCUUACUCGAGAAAAAACGGGAUCUCGUUGGAAGCGCCAUGUAUGCGCAGACGCCGUUUGGGCAUAACAAAAUGGCGGCUGCCAUUCAAUGUAGUUUUCAUCACCACCACCGGGUUUUGUUUUAUUUUAUUUAUUGAAAUUGGAAAAAUUCUUCUUCUUAUUAGGGCCCGAGCAGGUCAUCGACCUGUGAGGUCCCUAUUGAAAUUGUAAAAAUUAUUAGGGCCCGAGCAGGUCAUCGACCUGUGAGGUCCCUAUUGAAAUUGGAAGAAUUAUUCUUCUUAUUAGGGCCCGAGCAGGUAGACCUUCGAGGUCCCUAUUGUAAUUGGAAGGAAAUACAUUUUCUUCUCC
ensembl:lncRNA